rnacentral:rRNA from 1 species
AAUGGGGGCAACCCUGAUCCAGCAAUGCCGCGUGUGUGAUGAAGGCCCUAGGGUUGUAAAGCACUUUCACUGGUGAAGAUGAUGACGGUAACCAGAGAAGAAGCCCCGGCUAACCUCGUGCCAGCAGCCGCGGUAAUACGAAGGGGGCGAGCGUUGUUCGGAAUUACUGGGCGUAAAGGGCGCGUAGGCGGUCUUUUAAGUUAGGCGUGAAAGCCCCGGGCUCAACCCGGGAACUGCGCUUAAAACUGGAGGACUAGAAAACGGAAGAGGGUAGUGGAAUUCCCAGUGUAGAGGUGAAAUUCGUAGAUAUUGGGAAGAACACCAGUGGCGAAAGCGGCUACCUGGUCCGAUUUUGACGCUGAGGCGCGAAAGCGUGGGGAGCAAACAGGAUU